rnacentral:misc_RNA from 1 species
GUCCGUCAAUGGGACAUCACUAGAAAUGUCAAAAGUUUAAAAACAAUUUUCGGGAUUCACCGACAAAUAAAAUGAAUUCGUUUAUUUCAUAUUUAAAUAUAGGGUAGGUUGUGAAUGGAUAACGAUACCUGAUUACGGGAAAGAGUAUUUCAACUUGUGCUGUGGUCUGGAGGCUACAGAUUGGAUUAACACUGUGGAAAUUGGUUGUAAAGUGCUGAAGACCAUUUUGGUUUCAAGUUUCUUCGUAAAACUUCGUAACUGAGUGCAGAAUGGAAGAUGAGGAGCAGAAAGUAUGUCCUAACUGCAAGCGAGAGAUCCCAGCGGUGAACUUCACGAUCCACACGGUUCAUUGUGCACGUAACAUCCGCGUGUGCCCGGUGUGCAAGGAGCCUGUGCCUCAGAAUGAGCUUGAGGAGCAUCAUGAGAAGUUGCAUAAAUUAUUGCCAUGCAAGCAGUGUGGGGAGAAGGUCUGUGGAACAGACCUGGAAGACCACAUCAGGGACUCAUGUGCACAUACCAUCAAGUCUUGCAGGUUCUGCGAGCUGGAGCUCCCUCGGCGCGAGCUCCCAGCGCACGAGAGCUAUUGCGGGGUGCGCACGGAGCAGUGCCCGGAGUGCCGCGAGUGGGUCAUGAUCAAGUACCGCCAGCUGCACCUCGACUCCAACCACGGGUUCUUGAGACUCGACGAUGAUCCUGUACCCCAACCGAAGAGGGAACUUCCUAAAGCGACCAACAUAAAACCUAUGAACGUUCCAAAACCUACAAAUAUCCCAUUACCAUCCACUAGCAACGGUGUGACUCGACCUGCAAACUUUGUUAAGAACACAAACAUUUUACAAGAUCAACCGAAGACGCAGAUCAGAUAUCUCGGCUCAUCUAACGCUGGUCCUUCUACGUCCAGUGGUUUGGCAGAGACUACAGUGGCCAAUGUAUCUAGAGCUCAGACACAUAAUGUGUUGAAUGGAAAUGGUAACAAUAUAAAUAAAGCUCCAUUGAAGAGGACGAAUGACCAGCCCCAGAUCAACACGGCUGUCGCGGCAGUUAACAAAAUCGAUAAGGAAUUGGCUGUGUCCCGUGGCGCGGUGAAGAAGCGUCCGGCGCCGAAGCCCCCGGCGCGCGAGCCGCCCACGGCGGAGCCCCGCCGCGACCUGCCCUACCACAGCGCGCUGCAGCGGCACCGCCUCGAGGAGGCCCAGAGGCACGAGCAGAACGCCUACAACGCGGCUCACGGUCUGCCGCCAGUACUAACAGCCGCCGAAAAGAUAGAGAAACUCCGCAAGAUGGACGCUUUACAGAACAGGCCGGUGGAGGAAGUCGACUACAAGAACCGACUACAGGGACGGGUGUGGAUGGACCGUACUGCUGCACCUGCGGGUCAAAUGUUAGGCGCUUCAAGUUUACAUGACGACCAUGAAAACACGCAUUUAGAAGUGGACCGCCGCCGCAACAGGGCCAACCCGAGGAACGUGAAUGAGGUGCGGAACGACUUGCAGGACCUGAAGCCGAUGACCCCUGAACAGUUCAUGGACCGGUUCAAGGAGCUGCAGCUGCGGAGGGAGGACCGUAAUGAGGGCGCCGACAGGUUCAGCGAGAUCAAGUCCUCUCUCAGGGAGUUGAGAAGAGGACUGAAUGAGGUUACAGCACCUUACAACGCUAACAAUGCGAAUGUCGCAAAUAACGGUGAAAGGAGGGCGCGCGCCUCCCCCCUGCCCCCCGACGAGGAGGACGUGCCCCUGCCGUGCGAGUUCUGCGGAGCACCCGUGCCCGCCAGCACCCUGGUGCAGCAUCAGACGGGCUGCCGGCCCGACCUGGCGCAGUACCGGCCUCACAGCCCUUCCCCGCGAAGCGCUUCGCCCGCCAACUACGAGGAUCCCGUCAUCCCGUGCGAGUUCUGUACCGAGUCGCUGCCCGUCUACUUGAUUAGCGAACAUCAGGAACGCUGCGGCCGAGACGCGAACUUACUGUAUCCAGACUGAACAGUCUUCCUUCGUGUUUACUGAACUAUCCUCAGACGUAGUAACCUAUAUCCAAUGCUGGACAGUAUGGAGAACUGUCAAAAUUUAGGAACACUCAACAGUGCUGCCACCUACUAUUGACGACAGGUCGACAUGGCAAUCGGGGCAUGAGCGAAAAACCUGUCCAGAACCUUGAAAAUGAA